rnacentral:lncRNA from 1 species
AACUAUGGGGCUAAAUCUGAUGAUUCUUAUAUUCUGGUAGUUGUUGUAUUUGCCCAACACCCCUUAUUUUCUCACUGUAAUGGUACCUCCAAGUCACCCCACUUGUAGCAGCCAAUCAUAGUUCACCAUUCCCCGUGCACCUCACUGAACCCAACUCCAGCCGUCAGAGUGAGAUCCCGGUCAUAAGAGAAUGGACUCGCUGGACUAAUCCUCAUGUUCAUUGUAUUUGACCUGUGUUUAGCAUGUGCAUCUAAUUGACAGUGACCCAACACACCCCCAGGCUGUGUAAGGGCUAUUUGACCAAGAAGGAAAGUGAUUGAGUGCUGCAUCAGAUGACCUGGCCUCCACAAUCGCCCGACCUCAACCCAUUUGAGAUGGUUUGGGAUCAGUUGGACUGCCAAGUGAAAGAAAAGCAGCCAACAAGUGCUCAUUAUAUGUGGGAACUCCUUCAAGACUGUUGGAAAAGCAUUCCAGGUGAAUCUGGUUGAGAGAAUGCCAAGAGUGUGCAAAGCUGUCAUCAAGGCAAAGGGUGGCCACUUUGAAGAAUGUAAAAUAUAAAAUAUAUUUAGAUUUGUUUAACACUUUUUUGAUUACUACAUGAUUCCAUAUAUGUUUUUUCAUAGUUUUGAUGUCUUCACUGUUAUUCUACAAAGUAGAAAAUAUAAAAAAAUUAAGAAAAACCCUUGAAUGAGUAGGUGUCCAAACUUUUGACUGGUACUAUAUAUAUAUAGUACCAGUCAAAUAUAUAUGUAUAUGUGUGUGUGUAUGUGUUCAUAUUGUCUGUGUAUGCAUACCGUUAUGUUUAAUUAAGGACAUUUAUAAUAUUUAUGUAGUCUCAUUCUACUGCACUCUGUAUUUAGCCUUUUGUAGAAACUUUCAUGUGCCUUAAUAACAAACUUGUAUGCCAUCUGUAAAUACGAAUACAAUUAUUAAAUUACGAGCCUAUUUGGUUUAGCCACGGAAAAAGACAGGAACCAUCCCACUAGCCAUGAUUGGCUGAGAUAAUGGAUGGGCUGGACAUAUCGAGAGAUAAGUUCGGAUUGGUAGGCCAUGUAGCAUGCUUCUGUCUAUAACAUGAGCUGCUUAGUAUGUAGAGACUGAUGGCGCCGACAGAGAUGUCAGCAUUGCGACUAGCUCUUAGGAAACUUAGCAGUUUUUGUUGUUUUAUGUACUAUUAUUUACAUUAUUAGCUCAGGAAAAGUUUUGUGUAAUUGCAUACAGCCGGGAAGAACUAUUGGAUAUUAAAGCGGCGGUAACUCACCAGAACUACCAUCAUUAUGACUAGGAAUACGACUUCCCUGGAGCAGAUCCUUUGCUCACUCUCCCCAGAGCAAUUUAACUUAUUCCAGAGGCCGACCCCAAACAGCGCCGACGGAGUAGAGGCACUUGAGGCAACCUGCUGGUUCGACUUAGGGGGCGUGCACACCACCCACCACUUCCAAGUAUAUUACUAAUGUUCAGUCUUUGGUUAACAAAGUUGAUGAGCUUAGAGCAAGGAUUCUUUCCAGAGAGACAUCGGGGGCCUGUAACAUACUUUGUUUCACGGAAACAUGGCUCUCUCGGGAUACUCUGUCGGAGUCAGUGAAGCCAGCAGGAUUCUCAGUACAUGGCACAGACAGGAAUAAAUAUCUUUUUGGGAAGCAGAAGGGCGGGGGAGUGUGUUUCCUGAUAAACGACUCAUGGUGUAAUUCAAGGAACAAACAGGAACUCAAGUACUUUGGUUCCCUCGACCUACAAUACCUCACGAUCAAAUGCUGACCAUAUUAUCUCCCAAGAGAAUACUCCGUCAUUGCCACGGCCAUUUACAUCCCCCCUCAAGCCGAUACCACGACGGCCCUCAAAAAACGUCACAGGACUUCAUGCAAACUGGAAACCACAUAUCCUGACGUUGCAUUUAUUGUUGCCAGGGAUUUUAACAAAGCAAAUUUGAGGACUAGGCUGCCGAAGUUCAACAUAUCAGCUGUACUACUCCUUUCGGCGAAUCUGACAAAGACUCCAUCUUGCUCCUCCCUUCCUGUAGGCAGAAACUCAAACAGGAAGUACCCGUGCUAAGAACCAUUCAACGCUGGUCUGACCAAUCGGAAUCCACACUUCAGGAUUGUUUUGAUCACGUGGACUGGGAUAUGUUCCGAGGAGCUUGCGAAAAAAAUCUAGAUGCAUACACGGAUACGGUGACUGAGUUUAUAAGGAACUGUAUUGGAGAUGUAGUACCCACUGUGACUAUUAAAACCUACCCUAACCAGAAACUGUGGAUAGAUGGUAGCAUUCGUGCAAAACUGGGUCAAAAGUAAAAUGUUUUGGGUAGCCUUCCAAAGCUUCCCACAAUAAGUUGGGUGAAUUUUGCCCAUUCCAACUGACAGAGCUGGUGGAACUGAGUCAGGUUUGUAGGCCUCCUUGCUCGCACACGCUUUUUCAGUUCUGCCAACACAUUUUCUAUAGGAUUGAAGUCAAGGCUUUGUGAUGGCCAUUCUAAUACCUUGACUUUGUUGUCCUUAAGCCAUUUGCCACAACUUUGGAAGUAUGCUUGGGGUCAUUGUCCAUUUGGAAGACCCAUUUGCGACCAAGCUUUAACUUCCUGAUUGAUGUCUUGAGAUGUUGCUUCAAUAUAUCCACAUCAUUUUCCUGCCUCAUGAUGCCAUUUAUUUUGUGAAGUGCACUAGGCCCUCCUGUAGCAAAGCACUUCCACAACAUGAUGCUGCCACCCCCAUGCUUCACAGUUGGGAUGGUGUUCUUUGGCUUGUAAGCCUCCCCCUUUUUCCUCCAAACAUAACGAUGGUCAUUACGGCCAAACAGUUCUAUUUUUGUUUCAUCAGACCAGAGGACAUUUCUCCAAAAAGUAUGAUCUUUGUCCCCAUGUGCAGUUGCAAACCGUAGUCUGGCUUUUUUAUGGCGGUUUUGGAGCAGUGGCUUCUUCCUUGCUGAGUGGCCUUUCAGGUUAUGUCGAUAUAGGACUCGUUUUACUGUGGAUAUAGAUACUUUUGUCCUUUGCUGUAGUUCUGGGAUUGAUUUGCACUUUUCACACCAAAGAACGUUCAUCUCUAGGAGACAGAACGUGUCUCCUUCCUGAGCGGUAUGACGGCUGCAUGGUCCCAUUUUGUUUAUACUUGCGUACUAUUGUUUGUACAGAUGAACGCGGUACCUUCACGCGUUUGGAAAUUGCUCCCAAGGAUGAAUCAGACUUGUGGAGUUCUACAAUUUAUUUUUUGCGGUCUUGGCUGAUUUCCUUUGAUUUUCCCAUGAUGUCAAGCAAAGAGGCACUGAUUUUCAAGGUAAGCCUUGACAUUCAUCCACAGGUACACCUCCAAUUGGCUAAAAUUAUGUCAAUUAGCCUAUCAGAAGCUUCUAAAGCCAUUUUCUGGAAUUGUCCAAGCUGUUUAAAGGCACAGUCAACUUAGUGUAUGUAAACUUCUGACCCACUGGAAUUGUGAUACAGUGAAUUAUAAGUGAAAUAAUCUGUCUGUAAACAAUUGUUGGAAAACUUACUUGUGUCAUGCACAAUGUAGAUGUCCUAACCGACUUGCCAAAACUAUAGUUUGUUAAUAAGAAAUUUGUGGAGUGGUUGAAAAACGAGUUUUAAUGACUCCAACCUAAGUGUAUGUAAACUUCCGACUUUAACUGUAUAUAGUCUUAAUUCAUUCAUUCUUAGAUUUGUUGGUGUUGGGUAUAUGUUGUGUAAUUUGUUUGAUAUUACUUGUUAGGUAUUACUGCACUGUCAGAGCUAGAAGCACAGGCAUUUCGCUACACCUGCAAUAACAUCUGCUAAUCACGUGUAUGUGACCAAUAACAUUUGAUAUGAUUUGAUGUGUAUAUAGUCUUUUCUACCGCAGCUUUUUUGAAAGCUAUCAUGAAGUACUGCAACAGUGUUGCUACUGCUCUCAGUUGCUGCCCUGAAUUUAACAGGCGCUAUCAACAAAGAUCAGUCGGAAAAAGUUGUGAUGGACUGCUUUCUGGAGGACGAUUGUGCCGACUCUCUCUGACUGAAAAUUCGUCAGACGAUGAGGAAUCCCUGAUUUAGGUAAAAACAUGUUCAUUGAACCAGACAUUGUAGAGUCUUGUCAUGGGGAAGAAAUGGCGAUCAGCAGUGUUUUGUCACGGAAGAAGUUGACCGAGUUUUUAAAUAAGUGGAAUGCCCUGUGGAAGCAGAGUAUUAUUGCAAAUGCGACGGGAGUCGAAAAGAGAAAACAGUAGGCUGUUGUAUAAAACACCUGUCUCCGGAUUACAUCUUCAAACUAAGGGCAACCAUGGCAGAGAGGGUGAAGCAUUCAUCCACAUAUGCCAGUAAGACUCUAUCUACAUUCUCAGAUAUAAGUUUCUAAUUUUGUCAGGAAAUUGUUUUCAUUGCAAGUUAAAGCGUACUGUUAGCUAGCUAGAUAAACACUUCUACAUUAAUGUGGAUGGUACCAUGAUUAUGGAUAGUCCUAAAUGAAUCAUGAAUAAUGACUGAGAAAGUUAGAGGCAUAAAUAUAUUUUCCAAACAGUAUGCAUGUUACAGGAGGUUUUUAUUCUGUACAGUUUUCCUUCUUUUCACUCUGUCAUUUAGGUUAGUAUUGUGGAGUAACUACAAUGUUGUUGAUCCAUCCUCAGUUUCCUCCUAUCACUGCCAUUAAACUCUGUAACUGUUUUAAAGUCACCAUUGGCCUCAUGGUGAAAUCCCUGCGUUGUUUUCCUUCCUCUCCAGCAACUGAGUUAAAAAGGAAGCCUGUACCUUUUUAGUGACUGGGUGUAUUGAUACACCAUCCAAAGUGUAACUUCACCAUGCUCAAAGGGAUAUUCAAUGUCUGCUUUUUAAUUAUUCCCCAUAUACCAAUAGGUGCC